rnacentral:rRNA from 1 species
AGCGAACGCUGGCGGCAGGCCUAACACAUGCAAGUCGAACGAACCUUUCGGGGUUAGUGGCGGACGGGUGAGUAACACGUGGGAACGUGCCUUUAGGUUCGGAAUAACUUAGGGAAACUUGUGCUAAUACCGAAUGUGCCCUUCGGGGGAAAGAUUAAUCGCCUUUAGAGGGGCCCGCGACUGAUUAGCUAGUUGUUUGAGGAAAUGGCUCACCAAGGCGACGAUCAGUAGCUGGGCUGAGAGGAUGAUCAGACACAUUGGGACUGAGACACGGCCCAAACUCCUACGCGAGGCGGCAGUGGGGCAUCUUGCGCAAUGGGCGGAAGCCUGACGGAGCCAUGCCGGGUGAAUGAUGAAGGUCUUAGGAUUGUAAAAUUCUUUCACCGGGGACGAUAAUGACGGUACCCGGAGAAGAAGCCCCGGCUAACUUCGUG